rnacentral:tRNA from 1 species
GGGGGAAUGGGCUAACCUGGUAUGCUACUAGGUUUGGGACCUAGCGAUCUGAGUUCAAAUCUCAGUUCCCCCA